rnacentral:rRNA from 3 species
AGAGUUUGAUCCUGGCUCAGGACGAACGCUGGCGGCGUGCUUAACACAUGCAAGUCGAGCGAUGAAGCUUCCUUCGGGAAGUGGAUUAGCGGCGGACGGGUGAGUAACACGUGGGUAACCUGCCUCAAAGUGGGGGAUAGCCUUCCGAAAGGAAGAUUAAUACCGCAUAAUAUAAGAGAAUCGCAUGAUUUUCUUAUCAAAGAUUUAUUGCUUUGAGAUGGACCCGCGGCGCAUUAGCUAGUUGGUGAGGUAACGGCUUACCAAGGCAACGAUGCGUAGCCGACCUGAGAGGGUGAUCGGCCACAUUGGAACUGAGACACGGUCCAGACUCCUACGGGAGGCAGCAGUGGGGAAUAUUGCGCAAUGGGGGAAACCCUGACGCAGCAACGCCGCGUGGGUGAUGAAGGUCUUCGGAUUGUAAAGCCCUGUUUUCUAGGACGAUAAUGACGGUACUAGAGGAGGAAGCCACGGCUAACUACGUGCCAGCAGCCGCGGUAAUACGUAGGUGGCGAGCGUUGUCCGGAUUUACUGGGCGUAAAGGGUGCGUAGGCGGAUGUUUAAGUGGGAUGUGAAAUCCCCGGGCUUAACCUGGGGGCUGCAUUCCAAACUGGAUAUCUAGAGUGCAGGAGAGGAAAGCGGAAUUCCUAGUGUAGCGGUGAAAUGCGUAGAGAUUAGGAAGAACACCAGUGGCGAAGGCGGCUUUCUGGACUGUAACUGACGCUGAGGCACGAAAGCGUGGGUAGCAAACAGGAUUAGAUACCCUGGUAGUCCACGCCGUAAACGAUGGAUACUAGGUGUAGGGGGUAUCAACUCCCCCUGUGCCGCAGUUAACACAAUAAGUAUCCCGCCUGGGGAGUACGGUCGCAAGAUUAAAACUCAAAGGAAUUGACGGGGGCCCGCACAAGCAGCGGAGCAUGUGGUUUAAUUCGAAGCAACGCGAAGAACCUUACCUGGACUUGACAUCCCUUGCAUAGCCUAGAGAUAGGUGAAGCCCUUCGGGGCAAGGAGACAGGUGGUGCAUGGUUGUCGUCAGCUCGUGUCGUGAGAUGUUAGGUUAAGUCCUGCAACGAGCGCAACCCUUGUUAUUAGUUGCUACCAUUAAGUUGAGCACUCUAAUGAGACUGCCUGGGUAACCAGGAGGAAGGUGGGGAUGACGUCAAAUCAUCAUGCCCCUUAUGUCCAGGGCUACACACGUGCUACAAUGGUAGGUACAAUAAGACGCAAGACCGUGAGGUGGAGCAAAACUUAUAAAACCUAUCUCAGUUCGGAUUGUAGGCUGCAACUCGCCUACAUGAAGCUGGAGUUGCUAGUAAUCGCGAAUCAGAAUGUCGCGGUGAAUACGUUCCCGGGCCUUGUACACACCGCCCGUCACACCAUGAGAGCUGGUAACACCCGAAGUCCGUGAGGUAACCGUAAGGAGCCAGCGGCCGAAGGUGGGAUUAGUGAUUGGGGUGAAGUCGUAACAAGGUAGCCGUAGGAGAACCUGCGGCUG